CAAGUCGAGGGGCAUCGGGGCGAGGAGCAAUCCUUGCCGCCGGCGACCGGCGCACGGGUGAGUAACGCGUAUGCGACCUGCCCGUUGCAGGGGGAUAAUCGGGAGAAAUCCCGUCUAAUACCGCGUAAUGCCGCGGGGCUGCAUGGCCCUGCGGCCAAAGGGAGCGAUUCCGGCUACGGAUGGUCAUGCGUCGCAUUAGCUGGUUGGCGGGGUAACGGCCCACCAAGGCGACGAUGCGUAGGGGUUCUGAGAGGAAGGUCCCCCACACUGGUACUGAGACACGGACCAGACUCCUACGGGAGGCAGCAGUGAGGAAUAUUGGUCAAUGGCCGCAGGGCUGAACCAGCCAAGUCGCGUGAGGGAUGACGGUCCUAUGGAUUGUAAACCUCUUUUGUCAGGGAGCAAAGGGCGCCACGUGUGGCGCUUUGCGAGUACCUGAAGAAAAAGCAUCGGCUAACUCCGUGCCAGCAGCCGCGGUAAUACGGAGGAUGCGAGCGUUAUCCGGAUUUAUUGGGUUUAAAGGGUGCGCAGGCGGAAUGUCAAGUCAGCGGUAAAAUUUCGGGGCUCAACCCCGUCGUGCCGUUGAAACUGGCGUUCUUGAGUGAGCGAGAAGUAUGCGGAAUGCGUGGUGUAGCGGUGAAAUGCAUAGAUAUCACGCAGAACUCCGAUUGCGAAGGCAGCAUACCGGCGCUCAACUGACGCUCAUGCACGAAAGCGUGGGUAUCGAACAGGAUUAGAUACCCUGGUAGUCCACGCAGUAAACGAUGAAUACUAACUGUCCGGGCAGAAUGAUGCCUGGGUGGUACAGCGAAAGCGUUAAGUAUUCCACCUGGGGAGUACGCCGGCAACGGUGAAACUCAAAGGAAUUGACGGGGGC
rnacentral:rRNA from 1 species